rnacentral:lncRNA from 1 species
CCUCUUCUUCUUCCCUCUGUCUGGCUUUCAACACUGCCAAUGGCCAAAUCCUGCCAUCACUAGUUGGAUCUGGUCAUUGAUGGUGUGGAUUUCUCUCCCUUCCUCCUCUUUUUCCUCCCCCUUUUCUUCUUCUUUCCUUGGUGGGGAUGAGCCUUUUAACUCUAGCAAGAGGCCGUCAUGGCGAUAAAGCAAUCGCAAUUACAAGUGGUAGUAGCCAUAGUGAA